rnacentral:rRNA from 3 species
GAGCGGCGAACGGGUGAGUAACACGUGAGUAACCUGCCCUCAACUUCGGGAUAAGCCUGGGAAACCGGGUCUAAUACCGGAUAGGACCCUGCGUGGCAUCGUGCGGGGUGGAAAGUUUUUUCGGUUGGGGAUGGGCUCGCGGCCUAUCAGCUUGUUGGUGGGGUAGUGGCCUACCAAGGCGACGACGGGUAGCCGGCCUGAGAGGGCGACCGGCCACACUGGGACUGAGACACGGCCCAGACUCCUACGGGAGGCAGCAGUGGGGAAUAUUGCGCAAUGGGCGGAAGCCUGACGCAGCGACGCCGCGUGGGGGAUGACGGCCUUCGGGUUGUAAACCUCUUUCAGCAGGGACGAAGUUGACGUGUACCUGCACAAGAAGCGCCGGCUAACUACGUGCCAGCAGCCGCGGUAAUACGUAGGGCGCAAGCGUUGUCCGGAAUUAUUGGGCGUAAAGAGCUCGUAGGUGGCUUGUCGCGUCUGCCGUGAAAGCCCAUGGCUUAACUGUGGGUCUGCGGUGGAUACGGGCUGGCUAGAGGUAGGUAGGGGCAAGCGGAAUUCCU